GCUGAUAAAUGUAAGGAAGGGAAAAAGGCAGUGAAUAUAAGAAGCAGAGUAGCAUAUAUCUAACCUGACCAAAUGGGGUGAGAGCAGCUGUCUCCCAAUAGAACACAUCUACAGUGGGGUGCAAAGAUUCAAAUUGUGUGCAAAAAAAGAAGAGGUCCUUGGUUUGCCUGUCCUACCUGAAAUCAGGAGUUUUUCUAAUGGGACCUAUCAGAAAUAAGCAGAUGAAAGAGAAAUGUAAUGAGCUGUGGAUGGAUCAGGGUUAUGCUGGCUUUUGAAGAGAAGGAAAAAUCUAGCAUCCAGCCCUGGAAAGUCUUAGAAGCUGCUGAUGGGGAAGCUGGAGAGAACAAAAUUAUGAAAUGGGAGCCUAAAUCAGAUUCACCAAGAUAACCACGUUUUACCCCAGGGAACAGCACCAUCAAGCAGGCUCACAGAGUGGCAGAAUCAACUAAUGCUGUUCUCAGAAAAAAUGAGAUAGCAGAGAGGUGAAGACAGCAGGGAACUGGAAAGAUGAGGAAGCAUCGGAAGUGAGCACUUGGUGAUUAUAACAGUUAGGCUUGGGGAUAUUCAGUUUGCUACCUUCAUAAUUACGGUUGUAUUUGGGUGAUAUAAGAUGGGCAAACCACAGCAUCCAGCAUUGUCCUGCUGGAGAGUCCUGGGGCCACGGCUGCGUCUGACUGUUCAUGAAUGAAAUGCAAAGUGGGCACAAGAUGAACUUAUUGUCCACAACAGCCUGAGCUCCUUCCUGAGGGGAAGUGGCACAUCAAUUUCACUCCUGGCCAAAUGACCGUAGCAGCAUAAAGUUUCUGGCAUAAAAUGGAAACCUGGGAAGCUGUCACAGCAACUCUGCCAAGGAUUAGAUUGCCUGGGCUGCACCAUCUUAAGGUAUUGCUUGAGCCUCCAAGGCUGACCAGCCAGAGCAACUGAGGAGAAAUGUACAACCCUUUUCUUGCAAGGCAUGAGGAGAGUGUGUGGGCUGUGCUGGGCAUCUCUGCAGCACAUUACUCUCUGUCACUUCUUAAUGGAUCCUCCUAUUCCUACACUGAGACAUACAUUAAAAAUGCCUUUUCUGUCCCCCCUUCCUUUUUCAAUCAGCCUGUGAAAGAGCUGCAGUUGAUGUUUAAGUGCCUGUAAUGUCACAUUGCCAAGCCUCCAAAGACUGCCAAGUAUCUCAGUAGAAAGCUUGGAUGUGAUGCGGUGUUUUUAAUGAUUAAGUUGCCUUUAUGAACAACAAAGGGUGCAAACACCAUGACAAACAUGACUGAUGUAAUGCAUUUACAAAUCAUUAUUUAAAACAAUAUUCACAAAAAAGGAAUGCCAACAAAACUACUUCAAAAUGUGUGAAAAUAAGUCCAAGUGAAAGUGUUGGGGGUCAGAUACAGUCUAUGAAAUCACCCAGAAGCUAAGCCUAUCUUGGGGCCAACAACAGCAAAUGGGUUUAAGCAAAACAGCCAUUUAUCUUGUUUUUUACAGUCUUGGCACUCCAUCUUAGCUGCCUAUGUCCAGUGUGUCUGCAGCCCUUACUGGAUAAAAUUAAUAGUCCCUGUCAGAUGCAAAGCAAUAAUUUUUUAUUUCAUGACCUAAUUGUUUUGUUUAAUUUUAAGUUAUAUAUGGAAUUUACUCUUUAAAUUGUAAAGAAACAUUGCAUAAAGUUCAGAUCAUAACAGCUAUAACUGGGGAAAACAAAACACAAAUCAGGCAUCAAUGAGACUGUCAUUCUGCAGAUAUGAAACGCUCUCUCUCAGUGACAUUAAACUGCAGAAAACUGAUGGUUUUGAAGUUUUAAAGGUACAGAAGCCAGUCUGUCCUUCUCAACAAUCUCCGCAUUCAAGGGACACAGGUUUCCCCAGCAGUGCACCAAAGGCACUCACCAGCCUGCAGAUGUGUUGAUCUUGAGCAUCCCAUUAAUAAAUCCUUCUAUGAAUAAAUCAUAGAAAAGAAAUCUUGAGCUAGCAGAAGAAUGACCAAACUGAUUUAGCUCUUUCCAAACCCAAAUUUAUCAAAAACCUAA